rnacentral:lncRNA from 1 species
GGGCAAUGCUCUGAGCCACUGGUAUAAGUCUAAGCUAGAUUGCUUGAAAGCAAUCGUAUCCCAAAAACUUUUAUCCAUGUGCUGUACAUUUAAGGAAAAUGUACACUCCUUACAAUCAAUGAAUCAUUAUAAUACACCUUAUCCCUAUUUGUCUGCCAUUGCUGGAUAUCAAACAGGUUCCCGUGAAAUUUUUCAUAAAACUACAAAAGUGAUUGUUGUUUGCGUCAAAAGUUCAAGCGGCUGGGUCAGCCGGGAUUAGUGAUAAGGUGUAUUAUUUAAAUAAUAUUCAUUUAUUAAAAUAAUAUAAUUUAAUGAGUGAAGUUUUGUGAUGUGAUCUUUUACUAGCAUCAAUCCUGUUGAAUAUAUCUCAUGAAUGUAUUACACUGAAAGUUUGAAAAGAUAAUUUGCAUUGAUUCUGAGACCAUGUUCAACGAAAAUAUUGUUCCCUUGGAAAAAUAAAAGCGAAACUGUUUUUAUGUUGUGCGAGUCUCUGACACAAAUUUAGGUAAAUUAUGCCACAAAUCGCACACUUUAACUCAAGAAUGAGAUUAUCCAUGGAUAAAUUCUUCAUUCAACGUUCUUUCAGACGUAUUUGAAUUAACAUAUAUACCUGUUCUUGUUCAAAAUCGAAUGCUUUUAGUCAAUGUUUAUCAAAAUUAGUCACUGCAGUCUAAAUAUG